ACCCGGCUUGUCAAGAAGUGGCCAGCCUCGCCCUCUACCAACCUCUGAGAUCCCAGGCCAUGCUGUGGCUCCGUCAGGCGCUGCCGGACACUGCACUGCAGGGUGGGAGCUGCAAAGAGAGGGAAGAAAGGCGUGUGGACAACAAAGAACCAGCUGCUGGAACAAGGCUACAAAGCAGGCUCUCACAGCUGCCGGCCACCACACCGGUGAAGGGGAUCUGUGUGCACCAGGCAACUGGGGAAUGUGCUAGAGCAUCCCCCGGGCUCACUCUGGGCCAGGACACCAACUGUGCCUUAAAAUAGCCUCUGAUCCAGAGAAAAUUUCAACCAGGACACUAAAGGGUAAGUCCCUCAUUCGCAGAAGAUUUCCCACAGUCUCUUUGACUUUGCUCUACUCAGAAUUUCUACCUUUGUUUUUUUCUCCUCUACCCUGAGAGAUGGGCCGCCCUGCCUUCUUCCUAAAGAUGGGAGAGAAGGCCAGGUAACAAGGGAGCCGGAAGCCACGGAGGGGCCGCAGGGAGCGAACACAAUUCCACAGUGGUGAAGAGCUGGGGAGGCAGGGCUUCUAUGACUGGUGGCUUUCAAGGCAUGAAAGGGACGCAGAAGAGGGAGAAGCAGCA